AUUCCAGCUCCAAUAGCGUAUAUUAAAGUUGUUGCAGUUAAAAAGCUCGUAGUUGGAUUUGUGGCAGUGCUCGAGUGCCUUUUUUGGACGCUCUGAGCGCAGCCAUCCUUGGGAGGAAUUCGUGUGGCAUUAGGUUGUUGCAUGGGGGAUACUCAACUUUUACUGUGAAAAAAUCAGCGCGUUCAAAGCAAGCUUAUGCUCUUGAAUGUAUUAGCAUGGAAUAAUAAGAUAGGACCGUAGUACUAUUUUGUUGGUUUGCGUAUUUCGGUAAUGGUUAAUAGGGAUAGUUGGGGGUAUUCGUAUUCCAUUGUCAGAGGUGAAAUUCUUGGAUUUUUGGAAGACGAACUACUGCGAAAGCAUUUACCAGGGAUUUUUUCUUUAAUCAAAAACAAAAGUUGGGGGAUCAAAAAUGAUUAAAUCCCAU
rnacentral:rRNA from 1 species